CCAGCCCUGAUUCCUCCGGGCCCCGCCUCUGCUCGUGACGGCCUCCCAUUGGCCCAGCGUCCGCCUCGGCGUCGUUACGUCUUCGGGCAGGUUGAGGUGCGGCUCGCGCCGUCUCCCCAUUGGACCCCGCAGGAGAGAAGAGGCAAACUAUUUCCUGAGGUCUCCCUGCACUACUCCUCGUCCCCCAUCAUCAAAAGGCAUACUAUUCCUGAGAGGUUAUGUUUUCUGGAAGAAUAAUUUUAAUACUCAAGUUUAGUUUUAAGAAGUUAACAGAUGGGAGGACUUGGUCAGCAUUCAUCAGAUGGAAUUAGUCAUAUUCCAACACAGAAGAGCCAGCAUUUUGCCCUCAUGGUCUCAACUCCCGAUAGCCCUGUCAGAAGCACUAUUUCCUCACUACCUACUAUGCACCAGAUGCCCAGCGAGACAGCUUACCUAGGCUUUCUUACUGAUACUCUCAUUGGCAGAAGAGAAGACUGAGGGUCCCAAAACGAAGAAACUUGACCAAGUUCACCCAGCUUUUAAGUGCGAAGGCCAGGAUUCUAAGGUCAGGAUCGCGGUGGCCGGACCCUCUCCCAGAAGCUCCGGGUGCAAGGUUGAGAACCCACCCUGGACAGGAUGCCACACUCACACUCACACCCACACUCACUCAGACGGGGACAGUGUAGACGCAGCAAUUCACCUAACAUGCACAUCUUUGGUAAGGCGUUUGGAAACCCCCUUACCAUCCAAAUCAGGACCUGUAAAAGUCAGCCCCGAGCAAACCCUCACAGACAUGGGAGAAUGUGCAAACUCCUCACACACAGUGGCUCUCGCUGGGAAUUGAUUUUCUUUUUCUCAUGAACUUCAUAAUGAAACAGCAUUGAGUGAAACGACAUUAUUUAAGGAUCUGCUGUACAUGAAUGCAUUUUCAUUGUGAAUUCUAGAAACUGAACAUUAACGAGUAAGUUAAAGUCUCUUUGACCUCCUUUAUCCCACUCCCUACCUCAGAUGUAACUACUGCUGUCAUUUUAGUGUCUACAGUCAUGUGCGGCAUAACGUCAUUUUCAUCAAUGACGGACUGAAUGGUGGUCCCAUACGAUUAUAAUGGAACGGAAAAAUUUGUAUUGCCUAGUGAUGUCACAUACCUUGUAAAGUCAUAAAGGCAUAAAGCAACGCAUGACUCGUGUUUGUGGUGAUGCUGGUGUAAACAAACCUACCGCGCUGCCAGUCGUACAAAAGUACAGCACGUACCAUUAGGUAAUACAUGACACUUGAUAAUGGUAAUAAACACUAUGUUACUGGAUUCUGUAUUUGCUACCCUUUUUGUAAUUAUUUUAGAUGGCACUCUUUCUACUUAUAUGAAAAAGUUUGCUGUAAAACUGCAUGCCGUGUUAGGACGGCAGCAGCCUCAUACAUCUUGUGUUUACCAUGUCUCUUAACUGAAUCAUUUUCUCUUGCGCUUGAUUUAAUCUCCUGUUUUGUACAGUAACAUGCUGUACAGACUUGCAGCCUCGGAGCAGUAGGAUACACAUGCAGCCUAGGUAUGUAGUGGGCUACCCCAUCUAGGUGUGUGUAAGUGCACUCUAUGAUGUUCCCACAAUGACAAAAGCACCUAACGACACGUUUCUCAGAAUGUAUCCCCAUCAGGUGGCACAUGCCGCUGUUUUUCUAGAAAGUUAAAAAUUAAUUUAUACACAUGUAUUGAGAUAAAUACACAUAUUUUAUUAUUACAUGUGUGGUAUUAGAUGUACUUAACAUUCUGUAGCUUGUUUUUAAAUUUUUUAUUUAAUAGUAUACCUUGGAGAUAGUCCCAUGUUUGGACAUAUACGUCUGCCUCAGUCUUUUACUGCUUCAUAGCAUGAAGCCUCUGUAAUGUAAGCACUCUCCUUUUGACGGACUUUUAGGUGGUUUCCAUUCUAUUGCAGUCAGUGCUCCAAUGAGCAAUCUUGUACAUACAUGUGAGUGUUUCUCUAGGGUAGAUGCUAUAAUAUUGUGAGUCUGAAUAUAACAAAAUUGGUUGAUUGGCUUCCACCCUCCACCUAACCCCUGUUCUCAAAAGACAGUUAGCUAAAGAUCUCUUAACCAUAACCACUUAGGAUUCUUUCAUUCUAGUAGAUUAUCAGUUUUGUACAAUACAAUCCUCAUGAUCUUUAUUUUUGUGCUUUUGUGAUAUUAAAGACUCACUGAAAAAUAUUGUUUCCAUUACUCUUGGAUUACAGCACUAUUGAUCCAUUAACACACACACCAUGUGUGUGUGUGUGUGUGUGUGUGUGUGUGUGAGAUCAGUAAUGUAGUAAUCCAAAUUGCCCUCUCAUUUCGCUGUGCUAACUUACACCCCAGCCAGCACUGUAGAAGAAAACCCAUAUCGUCAAAUCCUCACCAACACCUGUUCUUUUCAAGCAUUAAACAUUUUGCCAGUGUGAUGGGAUGGGGGAAACGACAUUUCAUUGUUGUUCUAAUUUGUAUUUUCACCCUAAUUUUUUUUCUGAUGGCAGAACUGUACUCCUUAGGGCGUGCUUAUGUCCUCAGUAAGCAGUGGAGCAUUCUUUCUCCAGAUCUGUUUCAUCCCAAUGUCCCAGAGACAGGCGGGAGGAAAGGCCUGGAACAGGGGUAAGGUCCCGAGUUCUACACACGACCUCCUCCUCCCAGGGCUUUGAGUCCUAUAUGGGAAGUUCUCAUAGCGUCCCAAUCCACGAUCUAUUUCUGGACUAUUAGGCUAUAUUUAGAAGUUCUUCAGAGAUGCUGUAAAUGAUCCCCUGCUCACUUUCCCCUUGUUUGUUUUCCUAUUGUAGAUGUUGUGUUUUAUUCCUAAUAUGUCAAUUGCUUUUAAAUAUGAGGACCUACAGUGUGGAAUUUC